rnacentral:lncRNA from 1 species
ACCUGCACUAUGAUAGUAACACAACCGAAUGCAAAGAGUCCCAUCGGCAAUGUUCAUGGACAUUGCCCUUUGUUUUCGUCACAAGUUCAUCGAUAUACCUGGCUGGCAUACGGUUUACAAAUGACAACUGCCAAAAUACUACAUCCCUGAAAACCAUUUUGGGAGGCCGUCACGAGAAAAAGAGAAAAAAGAAUUAGCUCGCAGAAUACCACAACUUAUGACUCGUUAGGUUUUCCGGCUUGCAAAAAAAAUGAAAAACAUAUAUUGUGAUAGGGCGGCAUUUACCGCCAUGAGGAAUUGUCCAAUUUCAUUCCUAUGAAAAACAAAGAGCUUUGAGCUAAGUUCAUUGUCCUCCAAAACCGUAAAAAAGAUCAAUGG